rnacentral:misc_RNA from 1 species
UUGCAUUAACUGAAGAGAUCAGGGGAAAAUUGGGGUUGGUUGAAUUGAAUGUAUUUUUUUUUUUUUUGGUGUUUUAGUAAAUUUUUUGGGGUGUGAUUGUAUUCAAGUGCAGAGUAGUUGGGGUUGUUAGAGAAUUAAUUUAAUUUGAGUAGGUAAUUUUCUGUAAUUAUAAAAGUUUAUGUUUCUGUUUCACUUUCCCAUUUGAAGGAUGUGAUAUGUGUGACCUAAUUUUGUAUCAUUUUGAUCAUAGGAAAUGAACUUGGGCUAAGAAAAUCUAUUUUAAGAAAAAA